rnacentral:rRNA from 1 species
AUUGAACGCUGGCGGCAGGCCUAACACAUGCAAGUCGAGCGGCAGCGGGAAAGUAGCUUGCUACUUUUGCCGGCGAGCGGCGGACGGGUGAGUAAUGCCUGGGAAAUUGCCCAGUCGAGGGGGAUAACAGUUGGAAACGACUGCUAAUACCGCAUACGCCCUACGGGGGAAAGCAGGGGACCUUCGGGCCUUGCGCGAUUGGAUAUGCCCAGGUGGGAUUAGCUAGUUGGUGAGGUAAUGGCUCACCAAGGCGACGAUCCCUAGCUGGUCUGAGAGGAUGAUCAGCCACACUGGAACGGAGACACGGUCCAGACACCUACGGGAGGCAGCAGUGGGGAAUAUUGCACAAUGGGGGAAACCCUGAUGCAGCCAUGCCGCGUGUGUGAAGAAGGCCUUCGGGUUGUAAAGCACUUUCAGCGAGGAGGAAAGGUUGAUGCCUAAUACGUAUCAACUGUGACGUUACUCGCAGAAGAAGCACCGGCUAACUCCGUGCCAGCCGCCGCGGUAA